rnacentral:rRNA from 1 species
GACGAACGCUGGCGGCGUGCCUAAUACAUGCAAGUCGAACGAACGGACGAGAAGCUUGCUUCUCUGAUGUUUGCGGCGGACGGGUGAGUCACGUGUGUAUCACCUCCCUAUAAGACUGAUAUCACUUCGAGAAACCGUAUCUUAUACCGUAUAAUCUUUUGCACCGCGUUGUUCAAAAGUGAGAUACGGUCUUGCUGUCACUUAUCGAUGCAUCCGCGCUGCAUUAGCUAGUUGGUAAGGUAACGGCUUACCAAGGCAACGAUGCAUAGCCGACCUGAGAGGGGGAUAGGCCACACGGGAGCGGGGACAGGGUCCAGACGCCUGCGGGAGGCAGCAGUAGGGAAUGUUCGGCAAUGGGCGAAAGCCUGACGGAGCAACGCCGCGUGAGUGAUGAAGGUCUUCGGAUCGUAAAACUCUGUUAUUAGGGAAGAACAUAUGUGUAAGUAACUGUGCACAUCGUGACGGUAACUAAUCAGAAAGCCACGGCUAACUACGUG